rnacentral:rRNA from 1 species
GAUGAACGCUGGCGGCGUGCCUAAUACAUGCAAGUCGAGCGAAUGGAUUAAGAGCUUGCUCUUAUGAAGUUAGCGGCGGACGGGUGAGUAACACGUGGGUAACCUGCCCAUAAGACUGGGAUAACUCCGGGAAACCGGGGCUAAUACCGGAUAACAUUUUGAACCGCAUGGUUCUAAAUUGAAAGGCGGCUUCGGCUGCCACUUAUGGAUGGACCCGGGUCGCAUUAGCUAGUUGGUGAGGUAACGGCUCACCAAGGCAACGAUGCGUAGCCGACCUGAGAGGGUGAUCGGCCACACUGGGACUGAGACACGGCCCAGACUCCUACGGGAGGCAGCAGUAGGGAAUCUUCCGCAAUGGACGAAAGUCUGACGGAGCAACGCCGCGUGAGUGAUGAAGGCUUUCGGGUCGUAAAACUCUGUUGUUAGGGAAGAACAAGUGCUAGUUGAAUAAGCUGGCACCUUGACGGUACCUAACCAGAAAGCCACGGCUAACUACGUGCCAGCAGCCGCAGUAA